CUUAAGGUUCACAUUGAGAGCUGCAGGCCUAUGACUUAAUGUUCCAAUCACCUGCCACCAACAUUAGAGAACGAACACCUAAAUGCACAGACUUCAGACAGUGAUUCACUCAUCAACCAGUCACCCACUGAGGAAAAUACUGACCAACUGUUCAUCGAUUUAACAGAUGAAAAAACGGACAUGGAACUGCAGAAGAUGAAGAGCGAAGAAUCUGAGAAUAGACGCAGAAAGGCUAUAGAUGAGAGACGAGCGCGAAUCGCAAGUUUACCUGAACUUGCUCAUGGUGUGCCACUAAAAGUAAAAUAUCCAAGUGGCUUAAUGAGGACCAGGAAAUUUAUUUUAAGUGAAUCAAUUAAGGCACUGUUUGACUUCGUUGGAGAGGUGGAGGACGCUACAGAAUGGUUCCAUAUUCAGGAAGCCUUAUCACCACCACUUAGAAAUGACCUAUGUAGAACCAUUUUUUAAAGAAAUAUCAGAGGGCCAACCACACUUUUUGUCCAGUGGAUUGCCUCCGAAGACGCAGAGUUUAUGCAGACCAUUCUUGCACCUGAUGGUAAUGACAACCAUAAUAAAGAUGAUUAUAAUUCUGGGACUGUCAGCCCAUUGGAUCAACCUAGCACCUCUAAUGAGCAUCUGGC